GAUGCUGGCGAUUUCCCCUGAACGAGUCCCCAGGGCCAUUCCCUGCGCGCUUUGCCUGGAGCGCGGCGCGUCGCAGCCGCACUGGGAACCACGCAAGACCCUCCAAAGAGUGGGGAAGAGUUUGUGCGUGUGCAGAGAAACUCACGACCCCACACAAUGGUUUGGUGUGUUUGUCCCUGAGGAACCUGACUCUUGGGCUUUCGGAGAUUCUCCUAUGAAGUUAAUUUGUUUUGCAACCUAGGUUUCUGGACCCAUGACAGCUAGGUGGGGUGGCAGAGAACCAGCGGAUGGCAUCACGCGUAGGGAGCCCAAGAAAUGGGUUGAGUGAGAAAGACUUCGCUUGUUAUCUCCUUGUGCCAAUGGAUUUCUGGGGGCAAGUCAGAGUUCCCGCUUCUCCAGGGUGGGCAGCGCUCUUAAAUUAGACUUGAGGCUUCCAGGAUUUUUUUUUUUUUUUUUUUUUUUGGCAGCAAGAAAGAAACUUCUUCCUGCCAUUUUAAAGUUCUUUGCCAUGGGGACCCUGCCAGGCUCAUCUCUUCCUGAAAACCUGGCGUUCCAGGGCCAGUCUACCAAAGCAUCUUUAUAAGAAAGCGAAUCCUCCACCCUUCUUCCAACCAUCUUCCAGGCCACUCCACCCCUCUGGAACCUUGGCAGUGAAGCUAGCAGAGGCGGAGAGCUGGCCCUACUUCAGUAAACUGCAUACGAUAAGAGGAUACAGCCCAGUGCUGGUGAAAUAACUUUUGUGAAGUUCCCACGUGCACCCAUUGGGAUAAGCCCAGCAGAAAAUGACGAUGCGGCCAUACUCCCUAGUAACUAUUCAUUUUAUCCACAUAUUCCGAAAGCCAAAUGCUGUACUUAAAACAUUGUAGGCCAUCAGUGACCUAGACAGACUCAGAUCUCCCCCAUUUUAAUUGCGUAACAGACCAGACACAAACUGCUGACAAUGAGAAGCAGAGUAGGGGCAGAAGUGCCUAUAGGAAAUAAAUGUUUUAUGUGCCAGCAUGACCUCGUGUCUAGAAUAGAGUGACUUUGUUCUCCUAUAUGGAAAAGGAGCUUCUUCUCAGAAUUCAUCUCUUUACUCAUUCUGUGUGUGUUUGAAUUCCCAAGGUGUGGAAGAAAAUAAUCAGUAGAAUAAUAAUAAAAAAAAAAUCUCCCUUUGAGCUUAGACUCCCAAAGUCAAAGCUUGAGGACCAGUCUUUAGAGAUCUUUUUAAAAAGGGGUUUGGAGCCGGGUUUUCAAAUUGAAUUGGUAAAGAGGGAAGAGUCAGAUAGUAAAACACACAUACACACAAAAGCAAACACAAAAUGUAAGGACAAAACCACAGAGACUAGAAAUAGGAAAGUGUUGCUGUGGGGGAUUGCCAGUGGCUGGCCUGGCUAGGAUGUUUGAGUCACAAGAUUGAGCAGCAAAAGGCAAGGCUGUACUUGGUGGAGUGGUGGUCCUAAAAUGUGGGGGUAGGGAACCUCAGAUACUAGGCUGUGAAAAAGAUGGGAACCCACACUGGUGUGCAGGAUGACAGUGCUAGGUAACAGUACCUGAAUUAAAUCUUUAAAUAACCCUCCACGUAGGUGCAGAUUACCCCGAUUUGGAUUUUUUCUUUUUUUUAAAUUAUUACUCAAAUGAAUUUAUCACAUCUGUAGUUGUAUAAUGAUCAUAACAAUCUGAUUUCACACAAAAAAGGGGAAUUCUAGCCCAGCUCCAUACCCCAAACCUCAACAAAGAGUUUAGCCAUCUAGUUCGAUAGCCACAUAUUUUUUUCUUUUUAAGGCUGCCACCUGUGGCAUAUGGAAGUUCCCCAGCUAGGGGUUGAAUCGAAACUGCAGCUGCCUGCUAGCCCAAGCCACAGACAAAGCAACGUUGGGGUCUGAGCUGAAUCUGUGACCUACAAUACAGCUUGCAGCAGUGCUGGAUCCUUAUGCACUGAGCAAGGCCAGGGAUCAAACCUGCAUCCUUACAGACACUGUCAGAUUCUUAAUCUGCCCAGCCAUGAUGAGAACUCCCACGUUUUAUUUUUAAAUGGGUGAAGAAAUUAAGUGCCUACAGGUGGCAUGUUCUCCAUUUGUUAACAUGUUUACUGCUGUCUCUCUGUUAGGGACGAUGAGUCAAGCAAUGGAAAAGUCACUUAAGAGGCAGAUGAAUUUAUUCCUAUCUCAAUGUGGUGAGAAAAGAGUAAAUUUUUUUUUUUUUUUUUUGCUUUUUAGGGCCAUACCUGUGGCAUAUGGAGGUUCCCAGGCUAGAGGUCAAAGUCAAAUCAGAGCUACAACUGCCCACCACAGCCACAGCAAUGCAGGAUCAAAGCCUCAUCUUCGACUACACCACAGCUCAUGGCAAUGCCAGAUCCUUAACCCACUGAGUGAGGCCAGGAAGAGAACUCUCAACCUCAUAGUUCCUAGUCAGAUUUGCAUCCACUGCCCCACUAUGGGAACUCCAAGAGUGAGUUUCUAUUCCUUGAACAAGGAGGUAACAGAAGGAACAGGAAUUUAAAGUUAAAUAAUGGGACAGUUAAGUACAGGGUAAAAAGACAGUAGGAAAUCCAAAAGGAGGGAGACCAUCUAAGAAGAUGCUGCCAUAAACCAGCCACACGGCGAUGAAGGCUUCCAUUACUGGAGAUGCAUUCCAGCUCUUGGAGAACACAGUAUGUCCAGAAAACCAGGAGAGGGAAAGCUUUAUUCUAUAUAAUAUGAGAAGAUGUCCCCCACUCCCUUAGAAUAUCUCCAUAUCAGAGGUCCAAGUCCCUGACAACAGACUCAAAUGUUAGCAGAUAUUCUGACUUUGCUGAUUGUUCACUGUCUGAUUAACAAUCUAUAGGUCCUUAAGUGACUUUCUAAUCAAUAUACUCACUGAUAGUUUAAAAAAAUAACUGAAUGAAAUCAAAGAAAGUGUUCUCAUUAUCCCCUAAAGAUCAAGUUUCUUGAUACUGCAUAAAAUAUAGGGAGGAUGCUUUAAAACAGAUGUCUUUACUUAACAACAUAAUGACCUCACUGUAUCACAAGGACUAAAAAUGUCACAUUCUUCAGGUACUAGGAUACACACAGAGUAUCAGAAAACUUCAGCCACCACCCAUAGUUCUUUACCUCACCCAAGUUUCAGUCUUUGUGGUGCCUCUGCCCUGGACCAUAAGCCCUUUCAUCUGAGUCUUGCAGCAGGAGAUGUGUUUUCACAUCACAAGUCAAACCAGUGUAAGGAUCAUUCCAUUGGAACAUUAGAAUAUUGAAUUCUGAAGCUGAUCCCAGGGUCUACCUGUUGGUCUCAGGGCACUUCUACUCCACUGACGGCUACCAAUGCCCCAAUCCUUUCUUCAGUCCUCUCUUUCCUUCUGUCCCUUUUAAAUGCAGCAUGGCUUUUUUCCCCAGGGCCUAUCAUUUCAACAACACUCUUUUAGUACCCUACACAUCCUUGCUUCUUGUUCUUUUCUUCACAUCUCAACUCAAAGCAAUUAGGAGUUCCCAUUGUGGCUCAGCAGGUUAAGGACCUGAUGUAGUCUCCAUGAAGAUACGGGUUCCAUCCUUGGCCCCAGGCCUUGCUCAGUGGGUUAAGGAUCUGGAGUUGCUGCAGGCUGGGGCCUAAGUCACAGAUGUGGCUCAGAUCCAGUGUUGCCCUGGCUGUGGUGUAGGCCUGCAGCUGCAGCUCCAAUUGGACCCCUAGUCAGGAAUUUCCAUGUGUCCCAAGUAAGGCCCUAAAAAGAAAGAAAAAAAAAAAACAACCAAUUAUCUGAUUUCUCAGUGCCUGCCAUACAGAGGCCAAACACUGUACGGGAAUGCCAAAGAACAGAACAACUAAGUGUUACCAUCACAUCUUCACCCUCCUCAAAUGCACUCUCAAUACCGCCCAUCAGCCCCCCUGGUCCAUUCACUCUCCUUCCAUUUCACCCCCUACAAUAACUAUUUCAAACUUUCUCCAAACCUCCAGCUCCUCCCUCACCUCCUCCCUUUCCUUCCAAAGAUGAGGCAGAGCUCCAACUUUACAGAGAAAACCAAAUCAGAGAAAUGGGAACAGCUUCUACAUUUACCCUUUGCCACCAAAUCUGUUUAUACCCACAACCACCUUCUCCUUCUGUUUUCUUUUUAAUGGCAGUCCCUCCAAGGGACUAAUCUCCCCUUACCUUCAACUAGUAAGGAAACUUACUAUAAAAUUUCCCUUCUUUCUGUGUAUUCAGCAACCCCCUAUAGAUUCUAUCCUUUCAAUAUUCAAGCAUAUUCCAGCCUCUACCAUGUAUAAUAAACAAAGAAACUAGCAAUUGUCCUUUAACUACCCCACAUGUUUCCUUCAUAGCCAUAUUUUUGAAGGUUAUAUUUAUACUCCAUUGCUUGAUUCUCUAUUUAAUCCCUUCAUCCAGUCCAGUCAGAAUUCAGCCAUCAUCAUUCUAGAGCAAGUCACUGGUUACCUCCAUGCUUGUCAUACCCAAUGAACACUGCUUUGUCCUCUAUCAUACUUGUCCUUGUAAAACCAUAGGACAUGGUUGAUCACUCCUUCCUCCUUGGCUUUUCCUCAAACAUUCGCAUGCAUGUACUUUUUUACGUGUCAUCCCUUCUCUCAAUCCCCUUAUCUAGUAUAACUCAUUAAGAGCCCCUCUCAUAUCUGGGCUUGAUUCCUUAUUUAUAGGCAGUCAUAUAUGUGCACUAUUUUUCUUCAGAGAAGUUAUUCUAAUUUGUCAUUAUACUUUUACUAAUGUGAUUAAUUGACCAAAAUGUGUCUUUCCCUCUCCUACUAGGUGGUAAAUUCUUUAGAACCAGUUAAUUAUUGUGGUUCCAAGGGCUACCCAGUCCAAAUGCCUAGCAUGUCAUGUCUGACAAAAAUUGAAAGUUGAUGAAUUUACAAAUAAUUAAUAAAUCAAGAAGCACUUUCAUUGAGCUGACCUGGAAACAGCCAUCAAGUAAGACACAAACUGAAAGUCCUUGCGGCCAGACAUUAUAUGCUGUUCACCUUUAUCCCGGUAUCCAUGUAAAUCCCAGGAACA
rnacentral:lncRNA from 1 species